rnacentral:rRNA from 1 species
GCUCUUCAACGAGGAAUCCCUAGUAAGCGUGAGUCAUCAGCUCACGUUGAUUACGUCCCUGCCCUUUGUACACACCGCCCGUCGCUACUACCGAUUGAAUGGCUUAGUGAGACCUUUGGAUUGGGUUUGGAGUUGUGCAAACUUUUCCUUAUCCGAGAAGUUGGUCAAACUUGGUCAUUUAGAGGAAGUAAAAGUCGUAACAAGGUUUCCGUAGGUGAACCUGCGGAAGGAUCAUUAGAAAUUUAAUUCCCGGGAAUUCUUGGUUCCCGGGGGUAUUUGUAUUCAAAUUCCACUCUUUAAAAAAUUAAUACAUUUAAUAAAAUAAAAUGAGACAACUUUCAACAACGGAUCUCUUGGCUCUCACAUCGAUGAAGAACGCAGCGAAAUGCGAUACGUAGUGUGAAUUGCAGUUUACGUGAAUCAUCGAAUCUUCGAACGCAAAUUGCACUUUCCAGUAAUCUGGGGAGUAUGCCUGGUUGAGGGUCAUUGAAACAAGAUCGCGAAAUUUAUUUUUUUUAUUUAUUUCGCGGAUUUGAGUUUUCCGGAGAUCAUAUGUAUGUGUGGUAAUGUGAUUACCGGUGACUUUAAAAAUGAAUUCUGGUUCAAGUCAAAAACGUUCUAUGCAAUCGUGGUUUGUUGACAACUUGUCCUUCAUUAUGUUCCCCACCUAAUCGGAGAUAGGUGCGCGGGACAUAUAAUUUUUUUUUAUGACUCUCAGGCUCAGGCAGGUUACCCGCUGAACUUAAGCCUAUCAAUAAGCGGAGGAAAAGAAACUAACAAGGAUUCCCUCAGUAACGGCGAGUGAAGUGGGAAAAGCUCAAUUUUAAAUCUACCUGGUAUCCCCCAGGUCGAGUUGUAAUUUGAAGAAGCGUUUUCGGUGCUUCGGUCUGGUCCAAGUCCUUUGGAACAAGGCAUCACGGAGGGUGAGAAUCCCGUGCAUGGUCAGACCCGAAGUUCCAAUCAGAUACGCUCUCGAAGAGUCGAGUUGUUUGGGAAUGCAGCUCAAAUUGGGUGGUAGACUUCACCUAAGGCUAAAUAUCAGCGAGAGACCGAUAGCGAACAAGUACCGUGAGGGAAAGAUGAAAAGAACUUUGAAAAGAGAGUUAAACAGUACGUGAAAUUGUUGAAAGGGAAACGAUUGAAGUCAAUCGUGCCGAUGAGAAAUCAACUUGAUGGGUUUCGGAUUUCUUGGGUUGAGUCAGGGUCAAACCGUCUCUCCCUUGAAUUCGGGACUUGGUGGGUGUACUUUCUUUGUUGGCAGGUCAGCGUCGAUUUCGGGGGUCGUAAAAUAACUGGGGGAAUGUAGCUCCCUUCGAGGAGUGUUAUAGACCCUGGGGGAUGCGGUCCGCGAGAUCGAGGAUUGCAGCAAAUGCUCUCUGGGCUUUGUCGCCUAUCACCUGGAAGUCGCCCCGCGGGUGACAAUAUUCUUGACAUUCGUGGGUCUUGACGACCACGGGUUAGAGCGUUCUGAAAUUUUGCUAAGGAUGCUGACGUAAUGGCUUUAAACGACCCGUCUUGAAACACGGACCAAGGAGUCUAACAUAUGUGCGAGUGUUU